rnacentral:rRNA from 1 species
GACUACCGGGGUAUCUAAUCCCGUUCGCUCCCCACGCUUUCGCACCUGAGCGUCAGGCCAAGGCCAGGGUGCCGCUUUCGCCACUGGUAUUCCUCCCGAUCUCUACGCAUUCCACCACUACACCGGGAAUUCUACACCCCUCUCCUCGCCUCAAGCCGCCCAGUCUCCAACGACCUCUCCCAGUUAAGCCAGGAGCUUUCACGUCAGACUUAAGCAGCCACCUGCGUGCGCUUUACGCCCAGUAAUUCCGGAUAACGCUUGCCACCUACGUAUUACCGCGGCUGCUGGCACGUAGUUAGCCGUGACUUAUUCCCCAGGUACCGUCCUCGCUCUUCCCUGAGAAAAGGAGUUUACAAUCCGAAAACCGUCAUCCUCCACGCGGCGUUGCUCGGUCAGGGUUGCCCCCAUUGCCGAAUAUUCCUCACUGCUGCCCCCCGUAGG